rnacentral:rRNA from 1 species
CUGACCCAGAUCGUUGACAAAGAAAAAAUGAGAGUGUCCAAAGCAGGCAGAUCCAAUUCUCUGCCACCGAAUACAUGAGCAAGGGAUAAUGGAAUAGGUCCUCGUCUUCUCAUUUUCAGUUGGUUGCGGCAGGGCGAGGGUYUAGGGUAAUGAUUGAUAGGGAUAGUCGGGGGCAUUAAUAUUUAAUAGUCAGAGGUGAAAUUCUUGGAUUUGAGAAAGAUUAACUUAUGCGUAAGCCUAGGCCAAGGAUGUUUUCCUUGAUCAAGAAUGAAAGUUAGGGGAUCGAUGAGGAUCAGUUGCAGUCGUAGUCUUAACCGUAACCGACCCGGACCAGGGAGUAGGAGACGCGAAACCACACCAUCGCCGUCGUCGCCGUCGUCUSUGCGUCGUCAUGCGUGGCCGGCUCG